UGUCCAGAGCCUUCCCCCCGUCUUCCUGCUUUCCUCUGUGGAUAACACACUGGAGGACGGCCAGUCCUGCGGACGAGCAAAAAGAGUGAGCAGAUGUAGCGUCUUGUCUUGACUCUAGUAUGGAACACUGUGGUGGUGGGACUGGUCAGCACAGCACUCAGGCUCAUAGAAAACGAAAACAGAAAAGAGGAGAGAGCAACCUGUUUGUGACGUUGGUCCUGGAGAGUCCAUGGAAGAUGCCACGGCAGAGGCCGCCAACAUAGCCCCAUCCCAUCGGAGUGGAGUCAGAACACAAAUGUCCCAGAUCAUUUUCAGAGUGUUUCAGAGUGUUUACAAUCACAACAUGGGGAGGGACCAUAGGUCUUCUUCAGGGAUUUUAACAGGUAGAAGUUACCUCUUUUUGUCAGGUCUCUGUACUUAGUACAGAUAGUAAAGUUUGACGAGCAAGCUUGGGAUCGUGUAACGUAAUGAGCACAGCAAAGACGUAAUUGUGAACAUCACGGUCUAUUAUAUUUUAUUUUUUACUCCCAAAAUUCCAUUCUGUCCAUAUAGUCUGUGGUUGAGUGUGCCAGUUAAACCCCCUGA